rnacentral:rRNA from 1 species
UGAUGCAGCAACGCCGCGUGAGUGACGAAGGCCUUCGGGUUGUAAAGCUCUGUCUUCGCUGACGAACAAAUGACGGUAAGCGAGGAGGAAGCCACGGCUAACUACGU